rnacentral:rRNA from 1 species
GAACGAGAAAGUGGAGCAAUCCAUGAGUAAAGUGGCGACCGGGUGAGUAACACGUGACUAACCUACCCUCGAGUGGGGAAUAACUCCGGGAAACCGGGGCUAAUACCGCAUAACAUCGCAAGAUCAAAGCAGCAAUGCGCUUGAGGAGGGGGUCGCGGCUGAUUAGCUAGUUGGCGGGGUAACGGCCCACCAAGGCGAAGAUCGGUAUCCGGCCUGAGAGGGCGCACGGACACACUGGAACUGAAACACGGUCCAGACUCCUACGGGAGGCAGCAGUGGGGAAUUUUGCGCAAUGGGGGAAACCCUGACGCAGCAACGCCGCGUGGAGGAUGAAGUCCCUUGGGACGUAAACUCCUUUCGACCAAGACGAUAAUGACGGUACCGGAAGAAGAAGCCCCGGCUAACUUCGUG